GCAGCCUGGGAUAUUGGAGACCCUGUCCCCCAAAGGAAUAACAGCUCCGGACAACACACCCUGUUGUGGUGGAGAAUGCUGGAGUGUGAGGCGAGCCUGCAAGGUGUCACUGCUUGAUGCUCAAUGGAGAAAUGGACAGGACUGGGUCUUCGGGGCGGAAGGCCUUCCUGGAUCUGCAGAGGUGUGGAACCAGUGUUUACAUGCCUGGGGUGCUGCUCCCUAACAGGAGGAUGGCUUGGAUCCCUUCACUUCACACAGAGAGACCCACUUCUUACCUGUCCAGACACCAGGAAGCCCAGGAGCAAAAAUGACCGAGUUUGGCAUGGUGAGUCCUAACUUCCUCCACUGGUCUUUGCACCCUCCUGGUGGAGCUAAGUCCUUUGUGUGGCAUGAUAGUGGGCCCAUCACACGUGUGCAGAGAAUGAAGACAGCCACAGUGACAUGCUGAGCAUUUAUUAUGCAUCAACAGCCUUCAGCCACUCUUUGCCUUCAGGUCACAGGAAGAAAAGCACUGCCUGGCCUGCUGGCUGGGUUUUCCUUCCGGUACCUUGUUUCCAGUGGUCCGCCAGGGUGUGGCCACGGCCCUGCCGAGUUUUGCAGCAUCCCAGGGAAGACCACACUGAAUUCCUGUGCUCCGCUCUGCCGGCCUUCUCCAGGCACAGGCCUGGUCUCCUUGCGGACAGAGUCUGAGCUGCAGAUCAGUCUGGGAAACGUGAGUCUCCGGCAGAAUUCAGCGCUGGGGAAACCGCUGCGAAAUUGCUCCCUUCCUUCUCUGGAAGCCGGUGGACAAGAGAGCAUUGUGUAGGGUCAGGGCCCUCCUGUCACAAAGGGGCCUUUCAGAGAAGCUGAUGGGGCGGGCAGGACCCCGGCAGCCUCGGCUCCUGGGGACAUGCCCUAUCUUCCAUGUGCACAUGCCUGUGGAUGUGUGUGUGUGUGCAUAUGUGUGAAUUGUGCAUGUGUGCACACAUGUAUAUGUGUAUUUGUGCACACUUGUAUGCUGGGGACAGAGAGCUGUGUGUCUGUGCAUUCCCUGUAAGCAGGGUAGAACAGAGCACCGGCACAUUUCUCUCUUAGGACGUGGUUUCCCCGUAGGAGAAGGACCAGGCACGUUGGGAUGGGUAGACGGGCGUGACUGGCUCCCUGAAAGGCACAAGCGAGGCUGCCAAGCUCUGAGCUCCCAGCCAGGUGUGGGGGCAGGAUUGCGCUCCCCUGGCCUUGUGGACUCUGGAUCAGUCAGCCGUGGGAGAAGCUCCCCAUUCAAAUACUCCGCCACCCCGGGAAGAGGCGGACACUCGCUCCUGAGGGAGGGAGGGCACCUGGGAUGAGAGGAGGCUUGGAUUUUCCUGAGGGUGAACACUGGGUGCACGCCGUGUGCGCAUACGGGUGUGCCUGUAGCGCUCCAGGGAAGCUGUGCAGCGUAAUUGCUUUCUGCAGAGCAUGCCCCGCUGUAUAAUUAAGCUGCACGCCGGCGGCUGCCAGCACAGAAAUGAUGCCGUGUGCACUUGGUGAUCGCUCUGUCUCUUUCCUUGAACAAAAUGCUGCUUCCGUUUCCCAUACAAAAUGGUUCCCAGACCAGGAGAAAAGACAGCCUUCCCUGCGGCCUUGGCAAGACGGCGGCUUCUGGGAAGCAAAGAUGGAGGGUGGGAGAGAGGGGAUGCCCUCGAAGUGCAGUGGCUGAGCUUCUGUGCUUCAGCACCGAGGAAAAGUGCACUGGCCUCGCCAACUUCUCACGGUGCACAUCCUUGCUAUCUGGCCCAAUCUGGCCCUACGAAGACGAACAGAAAUUACUCCGAAUAUCCAAACCACUCAAGCAGUGGGGUGGAGGCACAGGCUGCCUUGGGACUGGUCCAGAGUGAAGUUGCUUCAUGGUCUACCCAUGAGGCCACACAGGAGACAUAGGGCCCAUUCCAGGAGGGACUGGGAAGGACAUGAAGGGAGUGUGGGCUGCAUUCUCCUUCACCAGACUGGAAAGAGUUGACACAAAUUUCAGAGCUACCCAAAGCGUUUUUGGGAAGUACUUGGUUUUUUGUUUUGUUUUGUUUUUUUAAUUACUUUUUUUUAAAAAAAAGUACUUUAAUAAAAUUGUUCCAUUAUGGCUGUGUGCUUUAGCA
ensembl:lncRNA